GAGUUUGAUCAUGGCUCAGAUUGAACGCUGGCGGCAUGCCUUACACAUGCAAGUCGAACGGCAGCAUGAUCUAGCUUGCUAGAUUGAUGGCGAGUGGCGAACGGGUGAGUAAUACAUCGGAACGUGCCCUGUAGUGGGGGAUAACCAGCCGAAAGAUUAGCUAAUACCGCAUACGACCUGAGGGUUGAAAGUGGGGGACCGCAAGGCCUCAUGCUAUAGGAGCGGCCGAUGUCUGAUUAGCUAGUUGGUGGGGUAAAGGCCCACCAAGGCGACGAUCAGUAGCUGGUCUGAGAGGACGAUCAGCCACACUGGGGACUGAGACACGGGCCCAGACUCCUACGGGAGGCAGCAGUGGGGAAUUUUGGACAAUGGGCGAAAGCCUGAUCCAGCAAUGCCGCGUGUGUGAAGAAGGCCUCGGUUGUAAGU
rnacentral:rRNA from 1 species